CAAGAUCAAUCAAUAGAUGUUUUUAAUAUUUUCAGCUACUACACCUAAAAAUAAGAAAAGUGUUCAUGAAAAAAAAAGAAAAGAAAAAGAAAAGCCACAUACAAAGAAUCAGGCCAAACCCACAUAAUUACUCUUAACUUAAGUGGUUCUUGCCUCCUAAAAUACCAGCACACAUUUAUAAUUAGCUAAUAAACUACAAAUGAAUAAUUACCUAGCACAAAGGGAGAAGGGAAGGAGGAUUUAAAACAUUACUCAGACACUUCAGCUUGUGCUGAAGGGGAAAACUAAGAUCACCACAAUUGCAAAUUUACUCUGGUUUCCAAGGGUGCAAUUUACAUCUUUUACACAAGACCCAGCCAGAAGAACUUGACUGCAAGUGCCCAGUGAUGAAAAAUCUUCUCUGGACAUUGGGACAACACUGCAAUGCAGCUACAACACCUGCUCUGGCAGGGUACACAGACCUCUUUAGCCGGUGCAGACCAAAGAGUGGGUGUAACUGGCUGAUGAGUGCAUGUGGGAAAUGACUGCAUCUCCUGCUGCUAGUGCCACAGGGAAGUUAACAAAGCUGCGGGCAGUAUUGCUUUUCCAGCAGAGUUCCUCUGUCUUUGGGGCUCUCUCGAAGGGAGGUUCUGAGUUGAUACAGGCUGGGGAACAGGGAACAAUGUAAAGACUGUCCUCUGAAGAAGAGCCAAGCAUGAGAAGAUAUCGCUAAAAGACAAGUAGCGGAGUCAUAUUUCCGUAGAUACUUAACACCUGUAAUUUAUCAGUGAAUGCAGGACGGAGUGGACAUGGUUGUACAUGUUUUACCACAGUGAGUUAGGAAUAAAGAAUUAUUUCUUUACUUAUGGUUUUGAGUAAAAUAAGCACUUUGAAAAUUGAAGAAUUAGGUGACAUCUACUUCUGGAGACAAGGUCAAUCCAUCCUAAUGUUAAUUAACCUCUACAUCCAAUUUUACUAACUGUGUUGAAAACACAGGUAUAUCUUCAAGGCUAACUGAAACAGUAGGUGGCAGUGUGUUCUACAACACCCAAAACACUCCCUGUGCCGACUGGAUUUUCCCAGAGUGAAUUUCAGAUGUUAUUUCGCCCUCUCCCCUCUGCUUAAGGCCCAGAUCCUCAAGUGUAUAAACUGGCAUAAAAACACUACAUUUACACCACCACCUGAUAAUCUGAGCCCAAAGCAUAUCUAAAAAUCUGUGAAAUCACUACAGUCCUUCUGAAAUAAACAGAUUAAGCAGAUCCUCAACUGGUGUCAACUGUAGUUAAUGGAGCUACAUGCAGAAUACCGGCUGAGGAAUCUGGCCCAUUAUUUUUAAGAGGUAAAAGAAGUGAAGCAGGCAGGUAUAUUCGGCUUUCCUCUUUGUGAUGGUGAUGGCCUGAUUAUGCAGUGACUGCCUUGUGAGAGCUGUUUUCCCUCGGGGUAGGGAGCAACUUAAAAAUGUUCAACUGGUAAUAUGGUCAUAAAGAUGUACUUGUGCAAUGAGAUGAACUGGGUGAUGCAUCACUACUCCUUUCAACUGGGGAUUAAAUGAACAACACUCCCAGAGGACAUUUGGAUACUACAUUCUAAUAUUGCUUUUCGGAGAAGUUGAUUUGGCUGGAUCUGUUCAAUUCUUACCCCCUCAGUACUAUCCUUGAUUGCCAUUUUCCUGAUAACUUUCUGUUUAAACUCAUUAACUGGAACACCCCAUGCAAAAAAAUACAGAAGGAGCAGUAAAUCCAGUCUCUCUUUGUAAUAGGAUUAUUUCAGCUGCUUAUGCUAUGUGGACCACGCUAAAAUGCCAUUUCCAUGUUAACUCUAUCAUAUAAUUACUGGCAUUGGAACAGAACUAAUACAAUUGUUUACAAUACACUAUAUAUUAUAUUAAUUUUGCCACAUGAGCCAUGACUACUGUACUGUAUUUCACUGCAUUAUAGGCUGCUUUGUGCAUUUU